rnacentral:tRNA from 1 species
GCCGCCGUAGCUCAGCGUGGUAGAGCAGUUGGCUGUUAACCAAUUGGUCGCCCGUUCAAGUCGGGCCGGCGGCG